AUUGAACGCUGGCGGCAGGCCUAACACAUGCAAGUCGAACGAGUGGCGGACGGGUGAGUAAUGUCUGGGAAACUGCCCGAUGGAGGGGGAUAACUACUGUAAACGGUAGCUAAUACCGCAUACCAUCGGAUGUGCCCAGAUGGGAUUAGCUAGUAGGUGGGGUAACGGCUCACCUAGGCGACGAUCCCUAGCUGGUCUGAGAGGAUGACCAACCACACUGGAACUGAAACACGGUCCAGACUCCGACGAGAAGCAGCAGUGGGGAAUAUUGCACAAUGAGCGCAAGCCUGAUACAGCCAUACCGCGUAUAUGAAAGAGGCCUUCGGGUUGUAAAGUACUUUCAGCGAGGAGGCGUUACUCGCAGAAGAAGCACAGACUAACUCCGUGCCAGCAGCCGCGGUAAUAC
rnacentral:rRNA from 1 species